rnacentral:ncRNA from 2 species
UACGUAGGCAGCGAGCGUUGUUCGGAGUUACUGGGCGUAAAGAGUGCGUAGGCGGUUUUCUAAGUUUGGUGUGAAAUCUCCCGGCUCAACUGGGAGGGUGCGCCGAAAACUGGAAGGCUCCGAGUAUGGGAGAGGUAAGCGGAAUUCCUGGUGUAGCGGUGAAAUGCGUAGAUAUCAGGAGGAACACCUGCGGUGUAGACGGCUUACUGGACCAUAACUGACGCUGAGGCACGAAAGCGUGGGUAGCAAACAGG